rnacentral:ncRNA from 1 species
UAUGGAAAAAGGCAAACCUGCUCGAAAGACAGGGACGCAAAGCCACGGAUCUAAUGUAUGAUAACAUGCGAUGAUCGCCGGGUUACCCUA